rnacentral:pre_miRNA from 1 species
AAUAAAUAUAGUUUUAUAUAUUCACGUUUAAUAUUUGAUUGUUCAUCUUAUUUAAAAUUUUUUAAUAAUUAUUAUUUUUAUUGCUAUUAGAUGAUAAAAUAUGAAUAGUACUUUAUGUGUAACUAAAUAUUUUCAAAUUUUUCACAAAAUUUUCUAAUAAGACGGACGGUCAAAUGUUGGGCACGAAUAUUUAUUGUGAGACAGAGG